ACACACGGAUAACAUACCGAAAGGUAUGCUAAUACGGGAUAAUAUAUUUGAGAGGCAUCUCUUAAAUAUCAAAGGUGAGCCAGUACAGGAUGGACCCGCGUCUGAUUAGCUAGUUGGUAAGGUAACGGCUUACCAAGGCGACGAUCAGUAGCCGACCUGAGAGGGUGAUCGGCCACAUUGGAACUGAGACACGGUCCAAACUCCUACGGGAGGCAGCAGUGGGGAAUAUUGCACAAUGGGCGAAAGCCUGAUGCAGCAACGCCGCGUGAGUGAUGAAGGCCUUCGGGUCGUAAAACUCUGUCCUCAAGGAAGAUAAUGACGGUACUUGAGGAGGAAGCCCCGGCUAACUACGUGCCAGCAGCCGCGGUAAUACGUAGGGGGCUGGCGUUAUCCGGAUUUACUGGGCGUAAAGGGUGCGUAGGCGGUCUUUCAAGUCAGGAGUGAAAGGCUACGGCUCAACCGUAGUAAGCUCUUGAAACUGGGAGACUUGAGUGCAGGAGAGGAGAGUGGAAUUCCUAGUGUAGCGGUGAAAUGCGUAGAUAUUAGGAGGAACACCAGUUGCGAAGGCGGCUCUCUGGACUGUAACUGACGCUGAGGCACGAAAGCGUGGGGAGCAAACAGGAUUAGAUACCCUGGUAGUCCACGCUGUAAACGAUGAGUACUAGGUGUCGGGGGUUACCCCCUUCGGUGCCGCAGCUA
rnacentral:rRNA from 1 species